rnacentral:misc_RNA from 1 species
CAACCCUUAAGCCUAGCUUAGUGUUGGGAGUCUACUAAGUGGUAACUUGUUACCCUGUAGUUCCUAAAAUGAAACGGCGGAUCUGCAGUAUCCUCUGAGCGUAGUAAAUCUUUAUCUCGCUUUUGUCAGGUGCUGUGGCUCUUGCCGCUAAACCCCCAAUUUUUAAU